GGCGGACGGGUGAGUAACGCGUGAGCAAUCUGCCCAUAUCUGGGGGAUAACAGUUGGAAACGACUGAUAAUACCGCAUAACAUCAUUUGAAGGCAUCUUCUUAUGAUCAAAGAUUUAUCGGAUAUGGAUGAGCUCGCGUCUGAUUAGCUUGUUGGUGAGGUAACGGCUCACCAAGGCGACGAUCAGUAGCCGACCUGAGAGGGUGAUCGGCCACAUUGGAACUGAGACACGGUCCAAACUCCUACGGGAGGCAGCAGUGGGGAAUAUUGGGCAAUGGAGGAAACUCUGACCCAGCAACGCCGCGUGAAUGAUGAAGGUCUUCGGAUUGUAAAGUUCUUUUCUAAGGGAAGAAGAAAGUGACGGUACCUUAGGAAUAAGCCUCGGCUAACUACGUGCCAGCAGCCGCGGUAAUACGUAGGAGGCAAGCGUUAUCCGGAAUGACUGGGCGUAAAGGGUGCGUAGGUGGUUUGACAAGUUGGUAGCGUAACUCCGAGGCUCAACCUCGGCACUACUACCAAAACUGUUGGACUUGAGUGCAGGAGGGGCAAAUGGAAUUCCUAGUGUAGCGGUGGAAUGCGUAGAUAUUAGGAGGAACACCAGUGGCGAAGGCGAUUUGCUGGACUGUAACUGACACUGAGGCACGAA
rnacentral:rRNA from 1 species